ACCUUAGAAGCUAAUAUAGCAAUCUAUUUUGUAAAUAGGGGGAGACUAGUUAAAAUCUAGUAUGAGGUU
rnacentral:tRNA from 1 species